rnacentral:rRNA from 2 species
UGGACUGCGGCGUGCUAUACAUGCAAGUCGAGCGGAUCUUCAUUAGCUUGCUUUUGAAGAUCAGCGGCGGACGGGUGAGUAACACGUGGGCAACCUGCCUGUAAGACUGGGAUAACUUCGGGAAACCGGAGCUAAUACCGGAUAAUCCUUUUCCUCACAUGAGGGAAAGCUGAAAGACGGUUUCGGCUGUCACUUACAGAUGGGCCCGCGGCGCAUUAGCUAGUUGGUGAGGUAACGGCUCACCAAGGCAACGAUGCGUAGCCGACCUGAGAGGGUGAUCGGCCACACUGGGACUGAGACACGGCCCAGACUCCUACGGGAGGCAGCAGUAGGGAAUCUUCCGCAAUGGACGAAAGUCUGACGGAGCAACGCCGCGUGAGCGAUGAAGGCCUUCGGGUCGUAAAGCUCUGUUGUCAGGGAAGAACAAGUAUCGGAGUAACUGCCGGUACCUUGACGGUACCUGACCAGAAAGCCACGGCUAACUACGUGCCAGCAGCCGCGGUAAUACGUAGGUGGCAAGCGUUGUCCGGAAUUAUUGGGCGUAAAGCGCGCGCAGGCGGUUCCUUAAGUCUGAUGUGAAAGCCCCCGGCUCAACCGGGGAGGGUCAUUGGAAACUGGGGAACUUGAGUGCAGAAGAGGAGAGCGGAAUUCCACGUGUAGCGGUGAAAUGCGUAGAGAUGUGGAGGAACACCAGUGGCGAAGGCGGCUCUCUGGUCUGUAACUGACGCUGAGGCGCGAAAGCGUGGGGAGCGAACAGGAUUAGAUACCCUGGUAGUCCACGCCGUAAACGAUGAGUGCUAAGUGUUAGAGGGUUUCCGCCCUUUAGUGCUGCAGCAAACGCAUUAAGCACUCCGCCUGGGGAGUACGGGCCGCAAGGCUGAAACUCAAAGGAAUUGACGGGGGCCCGCACAAGCGUGGAGCAUGUGGUUUAAUUUCGAAGCAACGCGAAGACCUUACCAGUCUUGACAUCCUCUGACAACCCUAGAGAUAGGGCGUUUCCUCUCGGGGGACAGAGUGACAGUGAUGCAUGAUGAUCGUCAGCUCUGUCGUGAGAUGUUGCUAGUCCCGCAACGAGCGCAACCUUGAUCUAGUGC